GUUUUUCUAGUAUAAUAAGUACAACUGACUUCCAAUUAGUAGGUUUGAAAAAUUCAAGAAAAACA
rnacentral:tRNA from 1 species